rnacentral:lncRNA from 1 species
CCAGAAUCUCAUGAAUCGCAAGCUAAAUAAAUACAUAGUGUUCUAACUCCAGAAGUCUAAAGAAGAACAAUACAAGAAGUCUAUAACUAAAGGGAGAAUAGAGAGGGACUUCUAGGUCUGCAGACAUAGCAGAUAUACCUCGAAGUUUCUGGAUCGCCUUACCUUAUGGAUAGUAUGGCUGAGCAAAAGAACCUGGAUCUGCACAAAAGAAACAUGUGCAGGAAAGGGAAUAUGUACACCACGACGGUACCCAGUAACUGCCAAGCAUAACCUCAGUGGAGUAGUGACGAUAUCUUGUCAGGGCCCGACUAUGUAUAUAUAUAGCAAGGUAAAAUAGUAUUAGAUAUGGCAGUAUAGUUAAAAAUACUAAUAGUCAAUGAAAAUGAAAUCACUGAAAGAAAUAACUCAGAACAUAGAGAUAGCAACAUGGGAUCUCCCAUGAUAACAUCCCGUAGUCCCAAACAUAAAGGUACAGAGGAUCUCCCGGGAUACCACCCUGUAGUCCAAACCGUAAAUGUGCAAGGGAUCUGCCAGAAUACAGUUUCGUAGUCCCAAAGUAAAUAUCUAGUACAGGGGGAUCUCCCAGGAUACCGUCCUGUAAUCCCAAAUAUAAAUGUGCAGGGGGAUCUCCCGAAAUACCAUUCCAUAGUCCCAAAGUAAACAUGUAGGGCGAUCUCCGGGAUAUCGUCCCGUAGUACCAAAGUAAAUACACAACAGUCUCAACAAGAAAAUCUACAGUUCUAUUCAAGUUCGUAUCAAAAGACGGGUAAUUCCUACUCUAAACAUGCUGCACAAAAUCCAAAUAAGCAGUUAAAGCAGGUAAGAUAGUAAAUUCACAUAAGAAUUCUUUCCAAAGCUAAACAGGAAGCUUCACAUAUAAGUAUUGCUCAAUUAAAGGAAACAUAGAUAUUUACUUAAACAAAAGUGGGGGUUUUCAACAAUUAGCACGCGUACGCACUCGUCACCUCACGUACAUGGAAUUCAUAUAAAAACAAUACCAAAAUCCUAAGUGGAGUUCCCCCACACAAGGUUAGGCAAGCCACUUACCUCGAACCAAGCUCAAAAUCAAUCCGAUAUCACGUACUUACCACGAAUAUCCAACUCCGAGUGGCCCAAAUCUAAUCAAAUCAAUUACAUAUAUAUAUAUGUUCUCGGGGCCAACGUCUCGGGGCAAACAUCUCGGAAUCGGGUAAAAGUCACAAAUUAGGGACACCCAUUAACUUACGAGUCUAACCAUAUCAAAUUCACUCAAGUACGAUACAAAAAUCUCGAUCAAAAUCCCAAAAUUCGGCCUAUGAAAUUUUCUCUAUUUUCCCAAAAUUUCACCCCAAAUCUAAUAUUAAAUGAUGAAAUGAAUCUUAUAUUAAUGGGAUAUAAUCAAAAAGUAGUUAGGAAUCAUUACCCACAAACUUCCUCCGAAAACCUCUCCAACUUUCGCCUCCUACCGAGAUCUCAAUCUAAUUUUUUGUGUGAUGAACUCAAACCCUCAUUUUUGGACUUUAAAUUCUGCCCAGAUGCGUUCUUCUUCGCAAACGUGAUGAACAAAAUCCCACUGACCCAAAUUCCUCCUUCACGAACGCAUAACUUACACUAGCGGACUCUUCGCGAAUGCGAGGACCAUGUCGCAAACGCGUAGGCUUAAGGUUUCACACUUACGCGAACGCGAAGUACAACUUAGCUGCCUCUCCCAGAGGCUCUAUGCGAAUGAGAUUCCACUAUCAUGAAUGCGAUGAAGGAUUUUUCUGCAACAAAACACCAGAAAAUCUACCUCUUCUCUAACUCCAAUUCAAUCGUAUGAACUUGAAUUUUCAAAAUUCUAUACGGAAUACUGUUCCGUAGUCCCCAAAUAAAUAUCCAGUAUAGGGCGAUAUCCCGAGAUACCGUCCCAUAGUCCCAAAUAUAAAUGUGCUGGGGGAUCUCCCGGAAUACCGUUCCAUAGUCCCAAAGUAAAUAUGCAGGGGGAUCUCCCAGGAUACCAUCCCAUAGUCCAAAAGUAAAUACACAAUAGUCUCAACAAGAAAAUCUACAGUUCUAUUCAAGUUCCUAUCAAAAGACAGGUAGUUCCUACUAUAAACUUGCUGCACAAAAUCCAAAGAAGCAGUUAAAGCAGGUAAGACAGUAAAGUCCCAUAAGCAUGCUUUUAUAAGCUAAAUAGGAAGCUUCACAUACUAGUAUUGCUCAAUUAAAGGAAAACAAAGAUAUUUACUUAAUCAAAAAUUGGGGGUAUUCAACAAUUAGCGCGUGUACGCACUCGUGACCUUAUGUACACGACAUUCAUAUAACAACAAUACCAAAAUCCUAAGGGGAGUUCCCCCACAUAAGGUUAGGCAAGCCACUUACCUCGAACCAAGCUCAAAAUCAAUCCGAUAUCAUGCUCUUGCAAUGAGUAUCCAACUCCGAGUGGCCCAAAUCUAAUCAAAUCAAUUACAUAACGUAAAUAAAUCUACAAGCGACUAAUUUAACUAAUUAAUUCAAAGCUAAGGCAAGAAAAUAGGAAAACGCCCAAAAAUCCUCCCAGAGCCAACGUCUUGGAAUUAGGUAAAAGUCACAAAUUAGGUACACCCAUUAACUUAUGAGUCUAACCAUACAAAAUUCAAUCAAAUCCGAUACCAAAAUCUCGAUCAAAAUCCCAAAAUUCGGCCUAAGAACUUUUCUCAAAUUUUCCCAAUUUUUUACCCCAAAUCCGAUAUUAAAUGAUGAAAUGAAGCUUAGAUUAAUGGGAUAUAAUAAAAAAUGAGUUAGGAAUCAUCACCCACAAACUUCCUCCGAAAAUCUCUCCAAAGUUCGCCUCCUACCGAGCUCUCAAUCCAAUUUUUUGGGUUAUGAACUCAAACCCUCUUUUUUCGACUUUAAAUUCUGCCCAGAUGCGUUCGUCUUUGAGAAUGUGAUGAACAAAAUCCCACUGGACUAAAUUCCUCUUUCACGAACGCGAGGUUCCUCUCGCGAACGCGUAACUUAUAUUGGCGGACCUUUCGCAAACGUGAGAACCCUAUCGCAAACGUGUAGGCUUAAAGUUCCACACCUACGCGAACACGAAGUAGAACUUAGCUGCCUCUCCUAGAUUCUCUACGUGAACACGAGACCCCUCUCGCGAACGCAAUGAAGGAUUUUUCUGCAACAAAACACCAGAAAAUUUGCCACUUCUCUAAGUCUAAAAAUGACCCGUUGAGCAUCCGAAACACACCUGAGGCCUCAGAAGCUUAACCAAACAUACCAACCAAUCCUAACACCAUACAAACUAACUCGAGCCCUCAAAUCACAUCAAACAAUACUAAAAUCAUGAAUCACCCUCCAAUCCAAACAUAAUGAACUUAAAAUUUCAAAAUUCUACAACGGAUGCCGAAAUCAACCAAACCGCGUCCGAUUGACCCCAAAUUUUGCAGACAAGUCAUUUUCAAUACUAUAGACCUAUUACAACUUUUGGGAUUAGAUUCCAACCCCGAUAUCAAAAAUUCCACUACCGGCCCAAAACUCCAAAAAUUCAACUUUUGCCAUUUGAAGCCUAAAUAAGCUACGGACCACCAAAACACGAUCUAAACACGCCCCUAAGCCCGAAAUCACUCAACAGAGAUGAUAAAAUCGAUGAAAUUCCAUUCCGGGCCAGUCUUCACACUGCUCCGACUAUGGUCCAAUUUCUAAGACUCAAAUACUUAUUUAGGGACUAAGUGUCCCAAAGCACUCCAAAACUCAAGAUGAACCAUCCCGACAAUUCAUAAUAGCAGAAAAAUACGGGGAAAGCAGUUAAUAAGGGAUCAAGGUGUUAAUUCUCAAAACGAUCGGCCGAGUUGUUAUAUCCUCCACCGCUAAAAAUAUUUGUUCGUGCUCAAACGAGCAUAGAGACAUACUUGAAGUGGUGAAAAGAUGAGGAUAAUGGCUGCACAUAUCCUACUCGGUCUCCCAAGUCUCCUCCUCGACCAGCUUACCCCGCCACUAAACCUUUACUGAUGCAAUGCUAUUUGACCUUAACUUUUGAACAUGCCUGUCCAAUAUAGGCACUGGCUCCUCAAAAUAGGAUAGAUCCUUGUCCAACUUGACUGAACUGAAAUCCAACACAUGCGACGGUUCACUAUAAUAUUUCCGGAGCAUCGAAAUAUGAAAUACCGGAUGAACUCCUACAAAUCUGGGAGGUAAGGCAAGCUCAUAAACAACCUCUCCAACAGGUCACAACACCUCAAAUGGGCCAAUAAACCUUGGGCUCAAUUUUCCUUUCUUCCCAAGUUUCAUAAUGCCCUUCAUAGGCGAAACCCGAAGCAAGAGCCGCUCCCCAACCAUAAAUGAAACAUCGUGAACCUUCUAGUCUGCAUAACUCUUUUGUCUGGACUGGCCUGUGCAAAGUCUAUCCCGAAUCACCUCAACCUUCUCCAAAGUCUGUGCCUAAUAAUCUAGCCUCACCAGGCUCGAACCAACCUACUGGGGCCAUUUGAAUCCUGGAUUUAUAAUUGUUGUUGUAGGCAAACAUCGCAAAUGGUAAGAACUGAUCCCAAGAACCUCCAAACUCCAUAACACAUGCACGAAUCAUAUUCUCAAGAAUAUGAAUAGUGCAUUAGGACUGUCUGUCCGUAUUGGGGUGAAAUGAUGUGCUCAACUCCACCUGAGUACCCAACUCAUAUUGUACGGCUCUCUAGAACUGUGAUGUGAAAUGAGUACCUCUAUUUGAAAUGAUGGAAACUAGAAUACCAUGCAAACAACCAAUCUCCCGGAUAUAAAUCUCCGCCAUCCGCUCCGAAGAAUAGGUGGUACACACAGGAAUGAAGUGUGCGGACUUGGUCAGCCGAUCUACGACCACCCAAAUGACAUCGAACUUCGUCAAAUUCCGUUGGAGUCCAACUACGAAGUCCAUGAUGAUCCACUUCCACUUCCUCUCCGGAAUCUCUAUCUGCUGAAGCAAACCACCAAUUCUCUGAUACUCAUAUUUCACCUUCUGACAAUUGAGGCAUCGAGCUACAAACCCAACUAUAUCUUUCUUCAUCCUCCUCCAGCAAUAGUGCUGCCUUAAAUUGCAUCACCCGGAUGGAUGGAAUACCGCGAACUACGGGCCUCCUCCAAAAUCAACUCCCGAAUCCCAUCAAUAUUGGGUACGCAUAUCCGAGCGAGCAUCCUCAAAACACUGUCAUCGCCAAUUGUCACAUCUCUAGCAUCAUCAUAAAGAACGUAGUCCUUCUGGACUAGUAAGUGAGGGUCAUCAUACUGACGCUCUCUGAUAUGAUCAAACAAGGAAUACCGAGAAACCACACAAGCUAAGACCUGACUGGGCUCCAAAAUAUCCAAUAUCUCAAACUGGUUGGCUAAGGCUUAAAUGUUCAUUGCCAUGGGCCUCUCUGCUGCUAGUAGAUAAGCCAAACUCCCCAAACAUUUGGCCCGACGACUCAAAGCAUCAACCACCACAUUGGCCUUCCCCGGGUGGCACAAAAUGGUGAUAUCAUAGUCCUUUAGCAGCUCUAACCACCUCCUUUGAUGUAAAUUAAGGUCCUUAUGCUUGGACAGAUUCUGCAAACUCCGAUGAUCAGUAUAGAUCUCAUAAAGAACACCGUACAAAUAAUGACGGCAAAUCUUCUAGGCGUGAACAACAGAAGCAAACUUGAGAUCAUGGACAACAUGAUUAUUUUCAUGCACCUUCAGAUGUCUGGACACGUAGGCAAUCACCAUACCGUCCUGCAUCAAUACCGCUCUAAGGCCAAUCCUCGAGGGAUCCCAAUAGACAAUAUAUGACCCCAAAAUUGUAGGCAAUAUAAAUACUGGGGCUGUAGUCAAAGUUGUUUUGAGAUUCUGAAAGCUCUCCUCACAUCUUUCCUUCUAUAUGAACGGAGAACCCUUCUAGGUCAGCUAGGUCAUAGGUGUUGCAAUAGAUGAAAAUUCCUCAAUAAAUUGACCAUAAUAACCCGCCAAGCCAAGAAAACUACGAAUCUCUGUAGCUGAGGAUGGUCUAGGCCAACUCUGCACUGCUUUCACAUUUUCGGAUCUACCUUGAACUUCUUCACUCGAUACUACGUGACACAAGAAUACCACGGAUUCUAACCAGAACUCACAUUUUGAGAACUUCGCAUAUAAUUUCUAUUCUCUCAAGGUAUGAAUCAUUAUCCUAAGGUGCUGCUCAUGAUCCUCUCAACUCCGAAAGUAUACCAGAAUGUCAUCAAUAAAGACGAAGAUGAACGAGUCAAGAUAUGGCCAAAAUACAUUGUGCAUCAAAUUCACAAAUACUGCUAGGGCAUUAGUCAACCCAAAUGACAUAACAAGGAACUCGUAAUGACCACACAGAGUCCAAAAAGUAGUCUUCAGGAUAUCUGGCUCCCGAAUCUUUAACUGAUGAUAACCUGAACGCAAGUCAAUCUUAGAAAACACUCGAGUACCCUAUAACUGACUCUCAAGCAUUCGUUUAUCCUCCUCUAAAGUUGCUGUCCUAUCCUCUGGCUGAACUGGGGCUAUAGGCGGUACUAUUAUAACCUCUGGGAUCUUAUCAACCUUAACUCGAUGCUCUGGAGUGCAGGCGGCAGGAUUCUGUGCUCCUCCACCAACCUGAGAUGUAGCUGUAGCAAGGGGGAUAAACCCUACCUAAGCUAGAGUGGUGUACAUGCUCAUGAACUGCGCAAGGGUCUCCGGGAGAGCUGGAGUAGUAGUAGCAGCAGGCGUAUCAGGAGCCUGGGCUAUUGCUGGAGCUGCUGGUGGCUUCGCUGUAGCAGCUCGCAUAGGAGCUCAGUCCAAGUCGACUCCUCGACCAGCUGGCCCCGCCACUAAACCUCUACUGAUGCAAUGCUACUUGACCUUAGCUUUCAAACCUGCCUAUCCUAUAUAGGCACCGACUCCUCAACAUAGGAUAGAUCCUUGUCCAACCGGACUGAACUGAAAUCCAACACGUGCGACGGAUCACUGUGAUACCUCCGGAGCAUCAAAAUAUGGAAUACCGGAUGAACUCCUACCAAGCGGGGAGGUAAGGCAAGCUCAUAAACAACCUCCCCAACAUGUCGUAACGCCUAAAAUGGGCCAAUAAACGUUGGGCUCAAUUUGCCUUUCUUCCCAAAUUUUAUAACGCCCUUCAUAGGCGAAACCCAAAGCAAGAGUCGUUCCCCAACCAUAAAUGAAACAUCGCAAACCUUCUAGUUUGCAUAACUCUUCUGUCUAGACUGGGCUGUGCGAAGUCUAUCCUGAAUCACCUCAACCUUCUCCAAAGCAUCCUGAAACAAGUUUGUGCCCAGUAAUCUAGCCUCACCCGACUUAAACCAACCUACCGGAACCAUCUGAAUCCUGGAUUGAUAAUUGUUGUUGUAGGCAAACUCCACAAAUGGUAAGAACUGAUCCCAAGAACCUCCAAACUCCAUAACACAUGCAUAGAGCAUAUCCUCAAGAAUAUGAAUAGUGCGCUCGGACUGUCCGUCCAUUUGGGGGUGAAAUGAUGUGCUCAAAUCCACCCGAGUACCCAACUCAUGUUGUACUGCUCUCCAGAACCGUGAUGUGAAUUAAGUACCUCUAUUUGAAAUGAUAGAAACUGGAAUACCAUGCAGACAAAAAAUCUCCUAGACAUAAAUCUCCGCCAACCGCUCUGAAGAAUAGGUGGUACACAUAGGAAUGAAGUGCGUGGACUUGGUCAGCCGAUCUACGACCAUCAAAAUGGCGUCCAACUUACUCAAAUUCCGUGGGAGUCCAACUAUGAAGUCCAUGAUGAUCUGCUCCCACUUUCUCUCCGGAAUCUCUAUCUGCUAAAGCAAACCACCCGGUCUCUUAUUCUCAUACUUCACCUUCUGACAAUUGAGGCAUCGAGCUACAAACCCAACUAUAUCUUUCUUCAUUCUCCUCCAACAAUAGUUUUGCCUCAAAUUGUGGCACCCGGAUAGAUGGAAUACCGCAAACUGCGGGCCUCCUCCAAAAUCAACUCUAGAAUCCCAUCAACAUUGGGUACACAUAUCCGAGCCUGCAUCCUCAAUACCCCAUCAUCACCAAUUGUCACAUCUCUGGCAUCAUCAUGCUGAACUUUGUCCUUGUGGACUAGUAAAUGAGGGUCAUCAUAUUGACGCUCUCUGAUAUGAUCAAACAAGAAAGACCGAGAAACCACACAAGUUAGGACCUGACUGGGCCCUGAAAUAUUCAAUACAACAAACUGGCUGGCUAAGGUCUGAACAUCCAUCGCCAUGGGCCUCUGUGCUGUUGGUAGAUAAGCCAAACUCCCCAAACUCUUCGCCCAGCGACUCAAAGCAUCGGCCACCACAUUACCCUUCCCCGAGUUGAACUAGAUAGUAAUAUCAUAGUCCUUCAGCAACUCUAACCACCUCCUCUAACGCAAAUUAAGGUCCUUAUGCUUGGAUAGAUUCUGCAAACUUCGGUGAUCAGUAUAGAUCACACAAAGAACAUCGUACAAAUAAUGACGCCAGAUCUUUAAGGCGUGAACAAUAGAAGCUAACUUGAGAUCAUGGACAAGAUAAUUUCUUUUAUGCACCUUCAGCUGUUUAGACACGUAGGCAUUCACCCUACCGUCCUGCGUCAAUACCGCUCCAAGGCCAAUCCUCGAGGGAUCACAAUAGAGAGUAUAUGACCCCAAAACUGUAGGCAAUAUCCAUACUAGGGUUGUAGUCAAAGCUGUUUUGAGCUUCUAAAAGCUCUCCUCACAUCCUACCGCCCAUCCGAAUGGAGAACCCUUCAAGGUCAGUCAGGUUAUAAGUGUUGCAAUAGAUGAAAAUCCCUCAAUAAAUCAACCGUAGUAACCAGUCAAGCCAAGAAAACUACGAAUAUCUAUAGUUGAGGAUGGUCUAGGCCAACUCUGCAUUGCUUUCACUUUUUCGGAUCUACCUUGAACUCCUUCACUCGAUACUACGUGACCCAAGAAUACCACAGAAUCCAACCAGAACUCAUAUUUCAAGAACAUCGCAUAUAAUUUCUAUUCUCUCAAGGUCUGAAGCAUUGUCCUAAGGUGCUGCUCAUGAUCCUCUCGACUCCAGGAGUAUACCAGAAUGUCAUCAAUUAAGACGAUGACGAAUGAGUCAAGAUGUGGCCGAAAUACAUUGUGCAUCACAUGCAUAAAUAUUGCUAGGGCAUUAGUCAACCCAAAUGACAUAACAAGGUACUCGUAAUGACCAUACUGAGUCCUAAAAGCAGUCUUUAGGAUAUCUGGCUCCCGAAUCUUCAAUUGAUGAUAACCUGAACGCAAGUCAAUCUUAGAGAACACUCGAGCACCCUAUAACUGACUCUCAAGACUUCGUUUCUCCUCCUCUGAAGUUGUUGUCCUAUCCUCCAUCUAAAAUGGUGCUAUAGGCGGUACUAUUAUAACCUCUAUGAUCUUAUCAACCUUAACCCGAUGCUCUGGAGUGCGGGCGGCGGGAGUCUGUGCUCCUCCAGCGACCUGAGAUGUAGCUGUAGCAAGGGGGAUAAACCCUACCUCAGCUAGAGUUGUGUACUUGCUCAUAAACUGCACAAGGGUCUCCGGGAGAGCUGGAGUAGUAGUAGCAGUAGGCGUAUCAGGAGCCUGGGCUAUUGCUGGAGCUGCUGGUAGCUCCUCUGUAGCAGCUCACACAGGUUCUCUGGCUGUACCACAUACGCGUCCUCGGCCUCUACCUCGGCCCUGACCUCUGGUGGCUCUAGUAGGGGGCACCGAUGCCUGAUCACCUCCGGUAGCACGUGUACUCAGUAUUUGUGAGAGAAUAGACCAGAUACGUUUAGAAUUUUGAUAUCCAUAAUCUUGCACGACAAGGAAUCAAAUGAAGUGGAAUUUUCCUAACAGUUACAUAGCCUCUCGAAGAUAAGUACAGACGUCUCUGUACCGAUCCCCUAGACUCUAAUAAACUAGCUUGUGAUUCAUGAAUCCUAUAAACCCAGAGCUCUGAUACCAACUUGUCACGACCCAAGUUGUCCCUCCUUGAACUAUCAUGACAGCAUCUAGUUCUACGAUUAAGUAAGCCUAAUAAAUUGCAAAAAUGAAAUAGAGAUACGAAACUAGCAAUUAAUAGGUAAAUAUAACAAAGGAGUUUGAAAUGCCGCUCGACAUAUAAAAUAAUAACACUCUCGAACUAAAUAUAGCACUCUCAAAACCCGGAAUCUCAUGAAUCACAAGCUAAAGAAGUACAUAGUGUUCUAACUUCUGAAUUCUAAACGAAGAACAAUACAAGAGGUCUAUAACUAAAGGGGGAAUAGAGAGGGACUUCUAGGUAUGCGAACGUGGAAGAUAUACCACGAAGUCUUUGGAUAGCCUCAUCUUACGGAUAGUAUGGCUGAGCAAAAGAACCUGGAUCUUCACACGAAAAACACGUGCAGGAAAGGGCAUAAGUACACCACGACCGUACUUAGUAAGUGCCAAGCCUAACCUCGAUCUAGUAGUGUAGAGAUCAGGUCAGGGCCCUACUGGUUAUAUAUAUAACAAGGUAAAAUAGUAUGAGAUAUGGCAAUACAGUUAAAAAUACUAACAGCCAAUGCAAAAUGAAAUCAUUGAAAGAAAUAACUUAGAACAUAGAGAUAGCAAUAGGGGAUCUCCAAAGAUAAUGUCCCGUAGUCCCAAACGUAAAUGUACAGAGUAUCUCCCUGGAUACUGUCCCAUCUUCCAAAUCGUAAAUGUACAGGGGGAUCUCCUGGAAUACCAUUCUGUAGUCCCAAAGUAAAUAUCCAGUACAGGGGGAUCUCAUGGGAUACCUUCCCAUUAUCCCAAAUAUAAAUGUAUUGGGGAUCUCCCAGAAUACCGUUCCGUAGUCCAAAAAUAAAUAUGCAGGGGCAUCUCCCGGGAUACCGUCCUGUAGUCCCAAAGUAAAUACACAACAGUUUCAACAAGAAAAUCUAUAGUUAUAUUCAAGUUUGUAUCAAAAGACAGUUAAUUCCUACUCUAAACAUGCUGCACAAAAUCCAAAUAAGCAGUUAAAGCAGGUAAGACAGUAAAGUCAUAUAAGCAUGCUUUCCUAAUCUAAACAGGAAGCUUCACAUACUAGUAUUGAUCAAUUAAAGGAAAACAUAGAUAUUUACUUAAUCAAAAAUGUGAGUUUUCAACAAUUAGCACGUGUACGCACUCAUCACCACACGUACAUGGCAUUCAUAUAACAACAAUACCAAAAUCCUAAGGUGAGUUCCACCACAUAAGGUUAGGCAAGCCACUUUCCUCGAACCAAACUCAAAAUCAAUCUGAUAUCACGCUCUUGCCACGAGUAUCCAACUUCGAGUGGCCCAAAUCUAAUCACAAGCAACUAAUUUAACUACUUAAUUAAAAGCUAAGGCAAGAAAUUAGGAAAACGCCCAAAAAUCCUCCCCGGGCCAACAUCUCGGAAUCGGGUAAAAGUCACAAAUUAGGGACACACAUUAACUUAUGAGUCUAACCAUACCAAAUUCACUCAAAUCCGAUACCAAAAUCUCGAUCAAAAUCCCAAAUUUCGGCCUAAGAACCUUUUUCAAUUUUUCCCAGUUUUUUGCCCCAAAUCCGAUAUUAAAUGAUGAAAUGAUGCUUAGAUGAAAUAAAUCAUUACCCACAAACUUCCUCCGAAAAUCUCUCCAAAUUUUGCCUCCUACCGAGCUCUCGAUCCAAUUUUUUGAGUUAUGAACUCAAACCCUCAUUUUUGGAAUUUAAAUUUUUCCCAGAUGUGUUCAUCUUCGCGAACGCGAUGAACAAAAUGCCAAUGGCCCAAAUUCCUCCUUCACAAACGCGAGGUUCCUCUCGCAAAUGUGUAGCCUACAAUGGCGAACCCUUCACGAACAUGAGGACCAUGUCGCAAACGUGUAGGCUUAAGGUUCCACACCCACGCGAAUGCGGGAGCAUCAUCACAAACGCGAAGUACAACUUAGCUGCCUCUCCUAGAUGCCCUACGUGAAAGCGAGACCCCUCUAGCGAACGCGAUGAAGGAUUUUUCUGCAACAAGACACCUGAAAAUCUGCCACUUCUCUAAGUCCAAUAAUGACCCGUUGAGCAUCCGAAACACACCUGAGGCCUCGGAACCUCAACUAAACCUACCAACCAAUCCUAAAACACUAUACAGACUAAGUCGAGCCCUCAAAUCAUAUCAAACAACACUAAAAUCAUGAAUCACCCUCCAAUCCAAACUUAAUGAACUUGAAAUUUCAAAAUUCUACAAUCGACGCCGAAAUCAACCAAACCAUGUCCGAUUGUCCCCAAAUUUUUCACACAAGUCAUAUUUAACACUACCGACCUAUUCCAUCUUCCUGAAUUAGAUUAUGACCCCGAUAUCAAAAAUUCCACUUCCGGCCCAGAACUCCAAAAAUUCAACUUUCGCCAUUUCAAGCCUAAAUAAGUUACGAACCUCCAAAAUACUAUCCGGACAUGCCUCUAAGCCUGAAAUCACCCAACGGAGCUAACAGAAUUGAAGAAAUUCCAUUCCAGUCCCGUCUUCACACUACUCCGACUACGGUCAAAUUUCUAAUACUUAAAAUCUCAUUUAGGGACUAAGUAUCCCAAAACACUCUGAAACUCAAGAUGAACUAUCCCGACAAUUUACAAUAGUAGAAAAAAUACGGGGAAAGCAGUUAAUAGGGGAUCUGGGCAAUAAUUCUCAAAACGACCAGACGGGUCAUGACAUCCUCCCCUUUUAAAAAUAUUCAUUCGUCCUCGAACGAGCAUAGAGACAUACCUGAAAUGGUGAAAAGAUGAGGAUCUGCACAUAUCCUGCUCAGUCUCCCAUGUCGCCUCCUUGACUGGCUGACCCCCCACUGAACCUUUUCUGAUGCAAUGCUAUUUGACCUUAGCUUUCGAACAUGCCUGUCCAAUAUAGGCACUGGCUCCUCAACAUAAGAUAGAUCCUUGUCAAACUGGAUUGAAUAGAAUUCCAAAACAUGAGACGAAUCACUGUGAUACCUCCAGAGCAUUAAAAUAUGAAAUACCGGAUGAACUCCUACCAAUUUGGGAGGUAAGGUAAGCUCAUAAACAACCUCCCCAACACGUCGCAACACCUCAAAUGGGCCAAUAAACCUUGGGCUCAAUUUUUCUUUCUUCCCAAAUCUCAUAACGCCCUUCAUAGGCGAAAUCCGAAGCAAGAGCCGCUCCUCAACCAUAAAUGAAACAUCAUGAACCUUCCGGUCUACAUAACUCUUCUAUCCGGACUAGGUUGUGCCAGGUCUAUCCUGAAUCACCUCAACCUUCUCCAAAGUGUCCUGAACCAAGUCUGUGGCGAGACCAACCAAAACAUGUCCGAUUGACCCCAAUUUUUGCACAAAAGUUAUAUUCAACACUAUGGACCUAUUCCAACUUCCGGAGUUGGAUUCCGACCCAGAUAUCAAAAAUUCAACUUUUUACAUUUCAAGCAUAAAUAAGCUAUGGACCUCCAAAACAUGAUCCGGACAAGCCCCUAUGCCUGAAAUCAACAAACAGAGCUAACGGAAUUGACGAAAUUCAAUUCCGGACCCAUCUUCACACUGCUCCAACUAUAGUCCAAUUACUAAGACUUAAACUUUCAUUUAGGGACUAAGUGUCCCAAAACACUCCAAAACUCAAGAUGAACCAUCCCACCAAUUCACAAUAGCAGAAAACAAAUACGGGGAAAGCAAUUAAUAGGGGAUCAGGGCGUUAAUUCUCAAAACGAUCGGCCAGAUCGCUACAAUCAUGAUCCAUCAGGGGUUAAAGUAACCCAAAAUGGUUGAUGGAUUGUUAUGAUCAACUAACAUUUCUGAAUGAUAGUGCAAGCAUGGUAAUCGAUCUCCUUGUAAGACACUCAUAUGGUGCACUCUACAAAAGUACAAUUAGAUAUGAAUAUUAGAAUGUUCAGAAAUUUCAAAAGAUAGGAAUUGUAAUCGUAAAAGGGAUUAAUAGUUACCUUAGGAUGGUUCAUGUUCCUAGUAAAGUGAGGAUGUUAGGCAUCCUGAAGAGCUUAUGAGACAAAGCAAGGGGAACUAAAAGUCAAAGAACGUUUUGUUGAAGUUUUCAUAAUAAAGUGAUAUAUAGAAAUAUUAGCCGAAGAAUAAGAAUAAAGUAAAUAAAGCAUUAUGAGUAAGAUGUGAUAAAUGGGUGAUAACAGUAAUUCAAAAUAUGAUAGAAUGAUAGAGUCUAUAGUCAAGUGAAGGAAAGUACAAGAGGAGACAGGCCUUGAGACAAUAAAAUAGUAUAAGCCUUAAUGUUAUAUCCUCACUUCGAGAAAUGAGUUGGUGACUCUACCAUGAUUACUAAAAGAACAAGUUAGACCCCCAGAGUAAUAGAAAUCAGUAUGGGCUAGUGAACAAGAUAAACAGACCAUGAAUUAGGGACCGGAGGAUUUGAUAAUAGUUGACAUCGUGACAAUUUCGGAAAUCGUGCUCCAGCAAUAAUAGAAUGGACAACAAAAGAAUAACCUUUAAAGUUCAUUCAGGAAGAUGCUUUCCUAAAGGAAGCAUUGUGAGUAGAGUUUAGCUUAAUGGAUUAGGUGUGCCAGUUACACUAGGUGUCACCUUCGUGCAUAAGAUCAGUUAUCCCCGGUACAGAAGGGUUAUCGCAAGGCAAGCAAGAGUUAGUGAAGAUGUGAAAAGAUGCUAAAGAUGAAGAGGUAAAAUAUUUAUAGGUAAAUCUUCGUAGCAUUAAAUGUUUGUAAUCCCAAAGGGGAAGAUGGUGUGAUAUGGUAUUAAGUCGGAGUUUUGUGGUUCAGGUUACUAUGGAAUAGUAAAUGAAGAAUGUGGUAGAAAGGCGAAAUGAAUAAGAUUGCAUUUAUUUAGAUCUUACAAAUAAGAUAUGACUCCAUAACAUUAUGCAAGCACGACGUUGGGGAGAGGCAGUAAGGGUUCCAUCACAAGAUGUUAUUGACAAUAAGUGCAAAUGAACACUUGAUACAUAAGGAGCUAGUGCGAGGGGUAAGUUAAUACAAAGGACAUAAACCAAGAGAGAAUAUGCAUAAUAUAGAUAUGAGAAUGGACAAAUAAGUAUUUAGUAGUUGAUUGAGGAAGAUACUAGUUAUGGCUAGACAAGAGGAAACAGACAAAACAACAGAUUGUGCAAGAUAAACACAGUGAACCCCGACAUAGUGAAUUCAGUCUCGUAGAUAUGACGUCAUAAUCCUUGAGAAAUAUUCAUAUAGGGGUUGGGGUAGUUAAAGGUACCAUAUAAGUGUUAUUGAAAUAAAAGAGAUUGCCACUGCGAAGACAAUCAAAAAUUUCAGUUCAGAAGCAACCAUGCGAGCACAAGGGCACGGAGGUAAGUAACUAGGAAUAAUUAUAGGAGAGCAAGAACAUCAAAAAUUCCAUCAUGUAUAUGAUGUAAUAAGCUCGCAGCUUUACAAGAGUCAGAGGGUAUACCCUAAGUACUACAACGAAAUACUAGCUGAUGAAAUAAGGAAGAAGGCUUUAACCAAAGCAUAGUAACUUGAAGAAGAAAUGGUGUUCUAAUAAUAGUCUCACUAUAAUAUUAUAUACACCCCAUAAGAAAGUAGCACCUAUCUUAGCUAAUUAACGGGAAGUAAAAAUCAAAAGUGAUAUUUAAGAUCAUAUGAGUUACAGGAAAUUUCGGUAUUGGUGGGCACUAAGAUAAGCCAAGCAUUCAUGCAAAAAGUGGCAGAAUGACCAGGAAGAGUAAUUUCUUACGUUUAAAGACAACCGAGAAGGCAUGAAAGGAAAUCUAUGGUGCUAGCAAGUUAAAGGAAGGUUGCGAGUAAUAUAAAUAGAUAUGUGUAGGUCGCAAGAUAAAGUAUCCUGGAGUGAAAAGGUUUUAGGUAUAUAGGAGUAAGGAUAAGAAAAGGUGAGUGAGAAGGUGAAGAGAAUAGGUAAGUCCUUGGGAUUCAAACCCGUAAAAAAUAAGAGAGCUGAUGAUUUUUGUAAGUUAAUGAUGUCAUACCUCCUUUUUCCCGAGGGGAUACAGGAGUUUUUCCAAUUAAAGUGUCAUUAAUCAAAAUAUAAUUAUUUAUUUAUUUUAAAAUCUCCACUUGGAAUAAUUUAUGGUGUCCCAGGUUACCGGUUUAGUUUAAAUCUCAAAUCGAGGAAAUUUGACUCUGUUUAAAGUCUGCGAAAGUCAGAAGAUUGGGUAAGGUAUUCUGUUAACCCGGGAGAAGGUGUGAGGCACUCUCGAGUUCCAUGGUUUUAGAACGGUCUCUCAACUAUUAAUAAUUAGACUAAUUAUCUGAUUUAAUAUAUCUUAAAAAUCUAUUGUGCAUUUUUGCUUUUAACCACUUUUAAUAGAACUUUAAUUGCUUUUUGGAUUUAUGGAAUUAUUUAUGGAACAAGUUACGAUGUCGUACACUUGUCAUUUUGGUACACAUUACAAACUGCGUCAUGUGAAAUACAUCCGCGAUUUACCACAUGUUUAUUUUUAUUAUUAUUAUUUGAAGUUACGAUCGAGUUACAUGAAAUGCGCACCCGAAUUGGGGAAGUAUGUAUCAUGACUAUGUCACAGGAACCGUAUUCAUAGUCACGAUGAUCUAUUAUUGAACGCGCCUAAAGAAAACUACAAUUGUUCAUAAAUUAAUUAUUUGCCUUUUUUAGAUUAUUGUUAGGUUGUGAAUUAUGGAACAGUUGUGGAAAAAUGGUGAGUCGUACAUGUUCCCACAAUAUUAACUCAUAACAUGGCCUUAGAUAAUGAAAAGCGACAUAUCUAUCACAGUUCCCAAAACCCACUUCCUAUUUUAAGUAUAUAAUAAGAGAGAAACCAAAAAAAUGAACAACAAAAACAAUAUCCAUUUUAGACAAAGAAAUAUCACAAAAAGUAAAAUUUGAAGAACCAGCAACCAAGAGCACCCCCAAUAAAACUCAAUGCACAACCAAAAGAAUCAGCAAAUGUUAAAAGAAUAGGAAAUUUUUCAAGAAUUAAAUUACCAAAUUGUUCUGAGGAAUGCGGGUAUCUUCAAUGGACUCCAUGUUUACAAUUUUUUUACUGUUUCCUUCAAAAUUCGAACAAGAAUGAAAUUCUGACCGGAGCUCGGAACCUCAUCGUCAAAUCGAAUCUUGCUCAGACCCAAUUACAUGCUGCCUUGAGGAGGAAUUACUAUUGUUUUAGUGGUGCUUAUUGAUGUAUUUUCCAGCUGGGCUCGGCCAUGAGUUUAGUCGUGAAACAUUGCUAUUUUGGAGCUGAUUGAAAGCCGUUUUUCAGGUGUUCUAUGGCUAGUUUUGGAGUUAUUUUGGAGGACUAUUUUCAGGUAGCGUAAUGGCUAUUUUUGCAGAUGAUAUUCAGCUGCGAUUUUGGAGAAUUUAGAGGUGUGUUUAAGGUGGUAAGGGAAGAGGGUUCACAUAGCUAUGAGCUACUGGUUUCUACGGCCAAAAUAAAGAAGCUAAGGUGAAGAAAAAUGGAAUUUUGUGGGGAUAGAUCUGCUAGAUUGAGGUAGAUGAAAUAUACGAGCAAGAACGAAAUAUUUUCAGAGGCUAAUACCUCACGUUUCUCUUUCCCGUUCUCUCCUCUCUCUUUUUCAAGUUGUUGUGCGGAUGAUUUCUCUUUUGUCUAAAGUGAAAGAAAAAUGGGGGAAAUUUUUUGGGGUUCUGCUGUUUUUCCAUCCAUAGUGGUCUAGGUUUUUGUGAAAAUAUGGGUUUUAUAUGGUUUGGGGAGGAGGAAAUCUGAUAGGUUAUUGGCU